GAGGAAAGUCCGGGCUCCGCAGGGCAGGGUGCCGGAUAACGUCCGGCGGGAGCAAUCCUAGGGACAGUGCCACAGAAAUGAGGACCGCCGAUGGUGUCGGCAAUGCCGGCACACAGGCAAGGAUGCAACGGUGCGGUAAGAGCGCACCAGCAACCCGGGAACGGGUUGGCUAGGUAAACCCCACCUGGAGCAAGACCGGAUAGGAGUGCGCACGUGGUGGCCCGCCACGCACUCGGGUAGGUUGCUUGAGCCAAUUGGCAACAGUUGGCCUAGAUAGAUGAUUGCCACUCCAUUCGUGCGAGGCAGACGGGUGAAAUGACCGAGAGCGAGUUGCUUAUCGGAUUUUGCGGACCUGCCGCUUGGAGCACAGGAGCACAGAAUCCGGCUUA
rnacentral:misc_RNA from 1 species